CAGUCUCUCUCUCUCUCUGUCUGUCUGUCUGUCUGUCUGUCUGUCUGUAAGAGACAGACAGACAGACAGACAGACAGACAGACAGAGAGAGA
rnacentral:miRNA from 14 species